rnacentral:rRNA from 1 species
GGUGACGUCGUGUCAGGUGCAUCGGUGAGUCGGAGGGGGCAAACGGUGAUGGGGAUCAUUGGGAGUACAGCGGACGUAGGCGGGUGUGCGAGGUGGACGUGAAAGCCCUAAGGGCAAGUGAGGACGGGCAGCCGAAACUGGCGAGCUUGAGUGCUGAAGAGGAGCGCGGAAUUCCCGGUGUAGAGGUGAAAUUCGUAGAUAGCGGGAGGAACACCAGUGGCGAAGGCGGCGAUCUGGGCAGACACUGACGCUGAGGUGCGAAAGCGUGGGGAGCAAACAGGAUUAGAUACCCCAGUAGUC